UUGUUUGCAGGUGCAGCAGCAUCAAGAUUCACACAUACACAAGUUCUACCUCCCAUAGUAGGGUUUUGUUUUGGUGUUGAGAAUCUUGAUGAUGCUGCAUCAGCAAUAAA
rfam:Lupinus angustifolius cultivar Tanjil chromosome LG02, whole genome shotgun sequence.